AUCCAAUGAUGAGGACACUUACGAAGUAACUCUUUUUGAAUCACUCCCAAGCCUCAUACAAAGACUCGUCAUCCAAUUGUUGGAAAGUUGUGAUCUCAUUCCUCAACUU
rfam:Gossypium raimondii Chr10_contig_798, whole genome shotgun sequence.